rnacentral:misc_RNA from 1 species
AUGGAAAUGGAUAUCUAGAUCCCAAGAAUACUAUUGUGUUUUUUUUAAAAUAACUACAAAGAAUUAAAUGAUAAUCUUAAAAAUUAUACUUAGAAGUAGAAGAUUCAACAUAAAUCAAAAGGUAUUCAACCAUAAAAGUAUUAUAAAAAAAAUUGGAUUCCUUGUUAACCAAACAGCAAAAAAAAGGAAUAUUAUUCUAAGAAUUGCACUCAAUUCCUUAUUCCAUGGCGAAACAAACAUGGUGUUUAUUCAACAAAGAUAAACAGUUGCCCAAAACCUUCCAUUUAUGGAUUUUUUAAACAGCUCUUUUACCAGUGGUUUUUUUAAAUAGACAUUCUCAAAUUGAAACAUAUAUCAUCAACUGCAUGACAUUUAUCUUUGCAUGUAGUUGAUAUAUGACAGACAGUGUAUCAAUUGAUGGACUUACAUUACUUCUUCCCCAGAAUGUUG